AGCCUACGGGGGGCAGCAGUGGGGAAUAUUGCACAAUGGGGGGACCCUGAUGCAGCGACGCCGCGUGAGUGAAGAAGUAUUUCGGUAUGUAAAGCUCUAUCAGCAGGGAAGAAAUAAAGUCCUUCGGACUUUGGACGGUACCUGACUAAGAAGCCCCGGCUAACUACGUGCCAGCAGCCGCGGUAAUACGUAGGGGGCAAGCGUUAUCCGGAUUUACUGGGUGUAAAGGGAGCGUAGACGGCAGCGCAAGUCUGGAGUGAAAUGCCGGGGCUCAACCCCGGAACUGCUUUGGAAACUGUGAAGCU
rnacentral:rRNA from 1 species